AGGGUAUUCCUGCACAACCGGAGGCUACAGUUACAGGACCGCAAUUCUGUGACCGCAGCUUUAGGACCCUAGUAUUUUUGUAACAGCGCCACCUACUGUACUGAAUCAACACUAAUUAAAGAUGGACGACGUGGACAGCAACCAGACGAGUUGAAGCCUACAGCCAUUCUAUCCAUGCAGCAACUGAUGGAAAAGGGGUUCACUUUGGUGCUGUUGUGAUGUUGUCACAAAAAUGACAUGUAAAUUCUGUACAGACCAAGAGUUUGGACACACCUUCUCAUUCAAAGAGUUUUCUUUAUUUUCAUGACUAUGAAAAUUGUAGAUUCACACUGAAGGCAUCAAAACUAUGAAUUAACACAUGUGGAAUUAUAUAUGGAAUUAUAUACAUAACAAAAAAGUGUGAAACAACUGAAAAUAUGUCAUAUUCUAGGUUUUUCAAAGUAGCCACCUUUUGCUUUGAUUACUGCUUUGCACACUCUUGGCCUUCUCUUGAUGAGCUUCAUGAGGUGGUCACCUGAAAUGGUCUUCCAACAGUCUUGAAGGAGUUCCCUGAGAGAUGCUUAGCACUUGUUGGCCCUUUUGCCUUCUGUCUGCGGUCCAGCUCACCCCUAAACCAUCUGGACUGGGUUCAGGUCCAGUGACUGUGGAGGCCAUGUCAUCUGGCACAGCACGCCAUCACUCUCCUUCUUGAUCAAAUAGCCCUUGAUGCCUUCAGUGUGACUCUAUAAUAUGUAUAUAAAUAAACAUUCUUGAAUCA